rnacentral:rRNA from 1 species
ACAAUGCGGGAAACCGUGAUAAGGGGAUCUCGAGUGCCAGCAUAUAAUGUUGGCUGUCCAGAUGCCUAAAAAGCAUCUGUUAGCAAGGGCCGGGCAAGACCGGUGCCAGCCGCCGCGGUAACACCGGCGGCCCGAGUGGUAACCGCUAUUAUUGGGUCUAAAGGGUCUGUAGCCGGCCAGGUAAGUCCCUUGGGAAAUCUGGCAGCUCAACUGUCAGGCUGCUAGGGGAUACUGUUUGGCUUGGGACCGGGAGAGGUGAGAGGUACCUUGGGGGUAGGGGUGAAAUCUUGUGAUCCUCGAGGGACCACCAGUGGCGAAGGCGUCUCACCAGAACGGGUCCGACGGUAAGGGACGAAAGCUAGGGGCACGAACCGGAUUAGAUACCCGGGUAGUCCUAGCCGUAAACGAUGCUCGCUAGGUGUCAGUCACGGUGCGACCGUGAUUGGUGCCGUAGGGAAGCCGUGAAGCGAGCCACCUGGGAAGUAUGGCCGCAAGGCUGAAACUU